rnacentral:miRNA from 1 species
AGGUGGGAGGAUUGCUUGAGCCUGGGAGAUGGAGGCUGCAGUGAGCUGAGAUUGUGCCACUGCACCCUAGCCCGGGC